GACGAACCGUGCGAACGUUGUUCGGAUUCACUGGGCUUAAAGGGCGCGUAGGCGGCUUGCCAAGUCAGGGGUGAAAUCCUUCGGCUCAACCGGGAGAGUGCUUCUGAUACUGGCGGGCUGGAGGGAGGUAGGGGCAGACGGAACUUCCGGUGGAGCGGUGAAAUGCGUAGAUAUCGGAAGGAACGCCGGUGGCGAAAGCGGUCUGCUGGACCUCUUCUGACGCUGAGGCGCGAAAGCCAGGGGAGCAAACGGG
rnacentral:rRNA from 1 species